rnacentral:lncRNA from 1 species
AGUAAUAGUGCCACAGCUUUAAGGAGUUGGUUCCUCUUCCAUCGUAUGGGUUCCAGGGAUCAAACUCAGGUCACCAGACUUGGCAGCAAGCUGUUACUGAUCUCACCAACCCCAAUCCAGCUCUUUAAGGGCAUGUUUAAGACCUGGCUGUUGGGGAAUAUAACUCAGGAGUAAGCACUUCAGAGUCCUCAGUUUCCGGAAUCUAGAGGCAGGUUUGACUUUCCUGGCUCUGGUCAGCAAAAGGGCUCAAUUAAAUAGGAAAGUGACAAAAGAUAGGAAGGAGAGCUUUUGUAAUGGGAGCAGACCCAAGGAAUCAUGGUGCCUGCUCCGCAGAUUCCGUACUGGUAGUCCUUGGCCAUUGCUCUACACGGCUAUCUUCAGCCCCAGCUCUGAGGGGGGACACCUUGUAUAUAGCUUGAUUGUUUUUAUAUAGGAUAGUCCCUCAGGGAAUAAACCUUUCUUCUCUCUUUACCACAUGGCCCCUUUUUACUGUCCUAUCGUGCCUUCUUCAAAUCUCCAUCCUGCCAGCUGAUAGGCACAAGCGCUGCUAGACAAACCACAGGCCAGUGCUGCGCCUCCAGCAGAUCGACCCACUGCAGGAGACGCCAUUGUCCAUGCAGCUAGAGGAUGGCUGACCAUGGAGUGGGUGUUUCCUCCCAAUGAUAACCUUGGCUCAGAGGAGAUAGCUAUCCAGGCCAGGGCAUGUGAGCAGCUGCCUUUGGGGGUUGGGAGAGCACUUUGUAUCCGAGUGGGAGCUCCUUUGAUACGACUGUAUACUGUGUCUGAUUUCAAGUCCAGGGCGGUGAUGGAAAGAAAAGUAAGGAAAGUAAGCCAUCAAAAUGGUUGCUGUCAUAGAAAAUGGGUGCCAAGAUACUUCCAAGGUGGACGUGUGUCUUUAGAAAAAUGUAGGGGCUGUCGAGAUGGCUCAGCGGUUGAGAGCACUGACUGCUCUUCCGAAGGUCCUGAGUUCAAAUCCAUGUGUUCAAAACCACAUGGUGGUUCACAACCACCUGUAAUGAGAUCUGACGCCCUCUUCUGGUGUGUCUGAAGACAGCUACAGUGUACUUAUUUAUAAUAAUAAAUAAAUCUUUAAAAAAAAAGAAAGAAAAAUGUAAAGAUUAAGAUCAAAACCUGCAGAAAGUAGAGAAGAGGGCCUUCUGAUCAGCAAUGACAAAUAUCCCCGUAGGCAAAGGCUUGGCAGGGAAUUAUAAGGAAACUCCAUUUUCAUGAGGCUUCAAUCAGAAUCUGAUGACGGGCCUUCUGCUGCUGUAAUGUGGGCUCGGGCUCUGAGGCCACUUGAAGCAAGAGACUGGGUGACAUGGGGGAGCUAGCACAGGCUUUUAUUGUCUCAUCAGCAAAAUGAAGAAGUUGCCUUUUGAUGAGCCCCCUUAAUCUGUUAUAUGCUUCGCUUUCUUUUGCAGAAGGAAUUUCCAGGAAAAAAAAAACUCUUACUCUCCAGGUCAUGAAAUGAAUAUAUACAACACAUACAUUCAUGUGUAUUUCUAUGUCUCUAUAUAAACGUGAUGUCACACAUUUGGGGCCUAUGCAUUUCAAGACCAUCUUUGAGCUUGACAUUCUGGCCAAAUAUGUCACCACCCAUUCUUUUUGACUUUGAUAGUUGAUUGCUGUGAGCUGCACUAUUGAUACUUCUGGAGCCUUCAGAGUGUCUCACCCACAGUGAAUUUUAAAGACUGUGGUUUGGAAAAGUACUUUUGUCUCAGACCCUUCUGAUUUAAAACGUGUGUAGAAUGUCACCACUAAUAGCUUUUACUUUCUAGUGGAGGGGGAAGGGAGGCUGCAGAUGGAGAGGCCUCCCAACCCUGGGUGUGGCUUGUCUACAAAAAAGCAAUAGGUGCCCGAAGAGCCAGGUGAUCAAGCAGUAAGUAGCUUGGCAGAAAGAGCCCCGUGUGGUCGUACAUUGCAUAUGACUUGGCUUUCUUUUCCUUGUAGCAAGCAGACGAGACCCUGGAUUUUGAAGAACAGAUCUUAGAAGCUGCUAAAUCCAUUGCUGCUGCCACAAGUGCCCUGGUCAAAUCGGCCUCAGCAGCCCAGAGGGAGCUGGUAGCCCAAGGCAAGGUGAGUCACCGUGACUAGCUAAGCCACAGAGCAUGCAUGGAGGGAUGGAGGAGAAAUGUUUGGCUUGAGACAAGAAAUGCAUGUUGGAAUCCUGUUGCUGGGUUACAAGUCUUUUCCCCACCACUGAAAACUGCUUAAAUUCCAUCAGCUGAGUGAAAGCUUCAGUUCUAGGCCUCUCAUCUGCUUCUCGUUAAAGAAAACGUCCCACGCCAGGCAGAGAGCAGGGCCUGAAAGAGACACUUAUAGUCCCACUGUGUAUUAGGCUGUCUAAACUGUCAGCAUUUCCUGGUAAGUGCCAUAGUUCAGGGACUCUAUAAUCCCACUUCCCUGCUCCGAAUGCCUCCACUUGGUUUUAGGACCAUUGGGUAAACGCUGGUCAGCUUGCCAGUUAGUGCCUUGCUGAGCCUGUGGCUCACAAAGCCAUCUAGACUUAAAUCUGAGAUUCCCUCGGUCAACUUCAUCAUUAUUAACUCAGUCCACCUGUGUAAAAGCUUUUCAACAUUUAAAAGAUGUCAUGUGUCCUGUUGUUCCCAUACAUGGGACCAGUCUAUCCAGACUGGGUCUUGCUGAGAGCUUCCCAAAUACAAAGGCACUGUAUCCAGAUACCUGUAGAGUUGUCAACCUGAGGAGGAUUUAGUCACUUGUGUAUGUGUGUUGUGAGGCCUUUUCUGUUUGUAUGCAAAGAGUUGGGGUCGAGUUUGAGAGAACAGACAAGAAGCUUGACCAGUGGCAGUUCAAGUUCUACCAGGGAGUUGUGUACCACUUAGUCUAAGUGACUUGCUUGCUCUUCUUUCUAAACCGUCAUGUGGUAUCUCAUUCAAGAUCCCUGGAGAUACAUCUUCCCGCCCAAGCAUGAGGGCUGAGGGCUGACCACUGGGCUUCUCACUGAAUCUCUGAAGGUCCUGCCUCGUGUUCAACUUACCAUGCCUUCCCAUUAAGUUCUUGUAGGCUGGACAGCCUGCAAAGACCAAGAUCCCUGAAGCAUUUAGCUUCCUUCAAACAUAGUAGAAGAUCUGUAUGCUAAACAGAUUGCUAUAUAUCAGAGAAUCUACCCUGCCUGUGAUAGGUCUCCUGUCCUCCCUGGGACUUGGUUUGUACAGGCACUUAAACGUUGAGAAAGGAAGUUCGGAUGGUUUUGGCGCAGCUAUAGGACUUCAUGACAGUCUUGGGGUUUCGCCUGACACUCGGGAGGUAUCUGUAAUUGUUGAUGGAUUCCCCAGUCUUGUUUUCAGAUUGAUAUACUCAUCGCUUUCCUGCAACAAAACCUUCUAGAUCUGGACCAAAAAAAC